UCUCUGACACGCUGACGCCGUCUGGUGGAUGGCUUGGCUUGAGAGACUAUGAAGGGCGUGGCAAGCUGCGAUAAGCUCUGGGUAGGCGCAGGCAGCCUUUGAUCCAGAGAUACCCGAAUGGGACUUCUUAUCAGAAUGCCUUCGGGCAUACUGAUGUUCCGUAAGGAUCGUGAACCCUCCGAAUUGAAGCAUCUUAGUAGGAGGAGGAAAAGAAAUCAAUUGAGAUCCCCUAAUUAGCGGCGAGCGAAACGGGGUCUGCCCAAACUGAAUCCUGUAAAGUGAUUUGUAGGAGAUGUGGGGUAUGCUAGCAGUGUUUGCUUCUCUCAUUUUUUUGAACUGAAGUGGUCUGGAAAGACCUAACAAAGAGGGUGAUAUUCUCGUAGGUUUAAGAAUAAGAGUGAUGUGCUGUUAGCUAGAGUACCUGGCCUUGUCAAUGGCUAGGGAAUAUGGGGGAAAGCAGCCUCCAAGGC
rnacentral:rRNA from 1 species